GAUGAACGCUGGCGGCGUGCCUAAUACAUGCAAGUCGAGCGAACAGAUGAGGAGCUUGCUCCUCUGACGUUAGCGGCGGACGGGUGAGUAACACGUGGAUAACCUACCUAUAAGACUGGGAUAACUUCGGGAAACCGGAGCUAAUACCGGAUAAUAUAUUGAACCGCAUGGUUCAAUAGUGAAAGACGGUUUUGCUGUCACUUAUAGAUGGAUCCGCACCGCAUUAGCUAGUUGGUAAGGUAACGGCUUACCAAGGCAACGAUGCGUAGCCGACCUGAGAGGGUGAUCGGCCACACUGGAACUGAGACACGGUCCAGACUCCUACGGGAGGCAGCAAUAGGGAAUCUUCCGCAAUGGGCGAAAGCCUGACGGAGCAACGCCGCGUGAGUGAUGAAGGUCUUCGGAUCGUAAAACUCUGUUAUUAGGGAAGAACAAAUGUGUAAGUAACUAUGCACGUCUUGACGGUACCUAAUCAGAAAGCCACGGCUAACUACGUG
rnacentral:rRNA from 1 species